UUAACAAAAACAUGUCCUUUUGAUUUUUAUUUAAGGUCUGAUCUGCUCAAUGAAAUUUAAAUUGCCGCAGUAUUUUAACUGUGCGAAGGUAGCAUAAUAAUUAGUUUCAUAAUUGGAAGCUGGAAUGAAUGAUUGGACGAGAAAGUUUCUGUCUCAUUUUAAUUUUUUAUUGAAUUUUAUUUUUAAGUCAAAAAGCUUAAAUAAAUAUGAAAGACGAGAAGACCCUAUAGAGUUUAAUAUUAAAUUUUAAUAAUACUUUAGUAAUAAAUUUUAGGUUUUAAUAUUUGGUUGGGGUGACUUGGAGAUUAAUUUAAUUCUCUAAAUUUUUAAUUGAUGAUGUUUAAUUUUUAAAUCUGUAAAUUAUAAGUAUAAAAAUAAUUACCUUAGGGAUAACAGCGUAAUUUUUCUUAAAAGUUCUUAUUUAAAGAAGAUUUUGCGACCUCGAUGUUGGAUUAAAAUUAAUUUUUGGUGCAGUAACUUAAAAAUUAGGUCUGUUCGACCUUUAAAAUUUUACAUGAUCUGAGUUUAAACCGGUGUAAGCCAGGUUGGAUUCUAUCUUUAGUUAAUUAAUUCAUUUUAGUACGAAAGGACCAAGUGUUUAUUAGAUAUUAAUUG
rnacentral:rRNA from 1 species